rnacentral:misc_RNA from 1 species
GAUGAAGAACGUAGCGAAAUGCGAUAAGUAGUGUGAAUUGCAGAAUUCAGUGAAUCAUCGAAUCUUUGAACGCACAUUGCGCCCUUUGGUAUUCCUUAGGGCAUGCCUGUUCGAGCGUCAUUUAAACCUUCAAGCUAAGCUUGGUGUUGGGUGACUGUCCGCUUCACGGCGGACUCGCCUCAAAAUUAUUGGCGGCCGGUACAUUGGCUUCGAGCGCAGCAGAAACGCGAACUCGGGCCCGUCUUAUUGGCUCCCAGAAGCUAUCUUCACAAUUUUGACCUCGGAUCAGGUAGGGAUACCCGCUGAACUUAAGCAUAUCAAUAAGCGGAGGA